AGCAGCCGCGGUAAUUCCAGCUCCAAUAGCGUAUAUUAAAGUUGUUGCAGUUAAAAAGCUCGUAGUUGAAUUUCGGGAUCAAGGAAUCGGUCAUGCCUCGGUAUGUACUGGUUUUAUUGGUUCUCACCUUCUAAAGAACCAUGAUGUCAUUCAUUUGAUGUUAUGGGGAAUUAGGACUGUUACCUUGAAAAAAUUAGAGUGUUUAAAGCAGGCUUACGCUUGAAUACAUUAGCAUGGAAUAAUGAAAUAGGACAUCAGAUUCUAUUUUGUUGGUUUCUAGGAUCGAUGUAAUGAUUAAUAGGGAUAGUUGGGGGCAUUAGUAUUCAAUUGUCAGAGGUGAAAUUCUUGGAUUUAUUGAAGACUAACUACUGCGAAAGCAUUUGCCAAGGAUGUUUUCAUUAAUCAAGAACGAAAGUUAGGGGAUCGAAGACGAUCAGAUACCGUCGUAGUCUUAACCAUAAACUAUGCCGACUAGGGAUCGGAUGAU
rnacentral:rRNA from 1 species